AUUGAACGCUGGCGGCAUGCUUUACACAUGCAAGUCGAACGGCAGCGCGGGCUUCGGCCUGGCGGCGAGUGGCGAACGGGUGAGUAAUGCAUCGGAACGUGCCCAGUAGUGGGGGAUAGCCCGGCGAAAGCCGGAUUAAUACCGCAUACGACCUGAGGGUGAAAGCGGGGGACCGAAAGGCCUCGCGCUAUUGGAGCGGCCGAUGUCGGAUUAGCUAGUUGGUGGGGUAAAGGCUUACCAAGGCGACGAUCCGUAGCUGGUCUGAGAGGACGACCAGCCACACUGGGACUGAGACACGGCCCAGACUCCUACGGGAGGCAGCAGUGGGGAAUUUUGGGCAAUGGGGGCAACCCUGAUCCAGCCAUGCCGCGUGCGGGAAGAAGGCCUUCGGGUUGUAAACCGCUUUUGUUCGGGAAGAAAUCCUCUGGGCUAAUACCCCGGGGGGAUGACGGUACCGGAAGAAUAAGCACCGGCUAACUACGUG
rnacentral:rRNA from 1 species